GUGCUCACUUUGGAAGCACAUAUACUAAAGCUGGAAAGAUACAGAGAUGAUUAGCAUCACUCCUGUGCAAGAAGGACAUACAAAUUUAUGAAGCAUUCAACAUUUUU
ensembl:snRNA U6 U6 spliceosomal RNA